GAUGUACCUGGUGGAAGCUGCAAGGCUCCUACUGAAAUACAUUGGAAAGCCACAGAGCUGUGUUAGACAAAAAGAUUAAGGGUAAUGUAGAAUUUUCAGGCUUAAAAAAUAAACAAAAUGAAAAAAGAAAGAUAUACUUUCAAAGUCUUCAGUGAAAACCUUUCCUGUGCUCAGACCAUUCCAUCUGUUUCAUCCAUAUAAUAAAUCAGUGCACAUGGUAUACAGAAUGGAAGAGAUAUCUAAGAGUAACAAAAUAAUUAUUUUAGUUAAUAUCAGCAGAUAUUAACCUUCAUCACAUGACUUUCUGUAGCCUGAUGUAAUGUUGUGUGUUUAGGGUCAAGGAACAAUGACCUGUCAUGGAGAAAUUGCUCCUUUUCCCACAAUGAAGACCCUGAAGAAGUAGGGAAAAUAUUAGGGACUGUUAGUUGGUUUAUUUUGUGUUCCUCUCUUAUACAUUGCCUAUUGGGGAUGGAAAUUCCCAUGCCAGACUUUUGUGAUGGUUAUGUGGAAGAAAGCAGGCAGGAGUGAGGGGAGUGGCUGCUGUGCAGGAGUCUUUCACUCCAGAAGUGUCAGCCUCUGCAGUGCCUUUGUAGGAGCUCUGCUUUAUGUUGCAGUGUAGGGAGUUGCCAGGAGAGGAGGGGAAAUGGGGAAAAAGGAAGUUUGGUUAAUAAAACAGGCUUGUUCUUUGAGUAAGAAGCAUGGGUGAUGCUUCAAUGCCUGUACCAGGCUUUGGCUGUAGAGCUGUUCAUCCUGAAUUGCAUACUAAAGAUUAAGAAAAGACCCCAAAAGCCUAAACUGCAUGUAUUUCUGUGAGCAUGGGCUUGUGCCAUGGGUUCAGGUGAUGUACUUGCUUGUUUACACAACCACAGGCUUCUUGGAGCAUCUGCCUUUUGCUCGCACCAUGAUUAAAUUGUACAGGGCGAACAUGUGUUUCUCAAAUCUCCCUGCAGCCCUUUGGAUAUGACUGUUUUAAGUUUGACAAGAGGAGGCAAGGAUGCACAUGAAAGUGUGCAGUUCUGAGUUUGUUCUUUUUGGUGCUUUCAUAUUGCAAAGAUCAAUAAUUUACCUCCUGUCAAGUGAAACCAGGAGAUUAGUUGCAUUAAUUUUUGAAUGCUUUCUUGGUGUCUGUAAAUUGAUCUUACCUUGCUGAAGUCAUGUUUGCAGCCUUGCUGUACUGUGGUGGCAGGGGAGCUACACUGAGCUGUGCUGGCUGAAUGUACAGCUUAAAAAGCACUCUAUGUGAAUAAACAUAGCUGUUAUAACAGGAGGCAGGGAAUCGUCAACAGACUGGUGGUUUGAUGGGGCUGGGCACUGUUUUGGUUUAGGCUGCUUAUCAGAUUUUUCCUCCAAGGUAAUGUUUUGUUGUUGUUUUCUUCUCAAGUACGUCCUCUGCUUUUGGUUUAGCUCAUCAUCUAUACAUAUGGCACAGAGCUUUAGGCUGAUUUCCAGUGCUCCCAAAAUGGUCAGUCAGCCCUUACCCAGACUUUUGUGAUUGCCAGUGUUUUGUGUACAUGAAAGGGGGGCAGAAAUUCUCUGCUAAUGUUCUUGGUGGGGGGAGUUUUCAGCUGAACUCAAAGCCAGGGGCACUGGUCCUGUGCACCUUGGUGCAGUGGGAGCCUAGUGGCUGAGGUGCUGUGUGUCUCUGACCCCCCAGGCACUCAGUGGGUCUCAGCCUCCUUCUGCUCCUGCCUUGCUGCCCAGCAUGGGAACAUGGUCCCAGGUGCCUGUGACUCCUCCCAGCUGGCCAUGUGGUUCUCUGCAGGGGAAAAAAAAGGAAAUACUAGAACUCCUCCAUCAUUUUGGACCCAGAGCUCAGAGCUGCUGUGAAGGUACUGCAUAUAGCAUUGCUGCUGUGCCUGGGUUUUUAUGAAGUCCUUGGAAAGAUUUAAUUAAAACUGUUUUCUAGAUUUCAUCUUCUGCAGGAAUGGUCUUUUAAAGAUUCUGCCCGUGGGGUAUUGUUUAUCCAAUUUAAGGUAUUGAAAUGCAGAAUAUUAUUCUGGUGUAUUUAUUCUGUGGAUAUCUAGACUUAAUUUUUUUCCUAAGCAGUUUGCUGUUAUGUGGAGGAGAUGCAGUCCGUGUUCUGCAACUGCUAUGAGAGCUGAGAUUGAAAUGAGUUUGAUUCUCUGCUGCAUUUUAUCUAAAACCUGCAGGUAACUUGGCCUCAUUGUGUCUGAGCACCAUAAGUAUUUAUUGUUUUUCUACUAGAACAUUUCCACAUCUAUCAAUGUCAUUUAUAUUGUUCUGUAUUUAACUAAAAUAUGUUUUCCUCCUGGAGAUUUUCUCUAGUUCUGGUCACAGUACUUCUGCUCCGUUUGUCCACACAAGCUAUUCACUCAGUUUCUGGUGCUUUCUGGCAGGGUUUGUUUAGGAAUUGAAUACUGUGAUGUUCCUAGGUGUUCCCACAAGUGCACCAUGAAGACACAGCCAUUGCACCAGCACUCAGAUUCCCUGAGUUUCUCAGUGUGCAGAUCACAGCUGACAAUUCAAUGUGAAGUUACCUGUGCAGGUGCUGUAAUGAAAACACCCACUGCUCUCCUGUGCUGGAAAUCCCAGACUUGGUUGCCCACAGCUUGUUUUCCCCGCACAUUAUCCUGGUUUUGCAGCCUCCUCUGCUUCAGGGAAUUUCUCAGCACAUACUCUAUUGUUGUUUCUUACUGAAAAUUGAGCCACAGUAAAUAUGUGACAUGAUUAAUUUUUUACACCAACAAAAUAAGACUGGCCCUUUUUCUCAGAUCCCAAUCAAUGCCUACUCCUUUUAAUUUGCUUUACUUUACCUUACAUUUAUUUAUUUCUGCAGCCAUAUUCCCAUGUUUUUCACCAGCUCUAUUCAAAGUAGUUUGCACCUCUCCUGUGCAGAAUAUCUCCAAAGUUAGAAGGCCUUUCUUUGGGUAAAAUACAGUCCUUAUAUCUGUGCAGACCUCCUCCCACGCCAGAAGCUCUCCUUCCUCUGAGACGUUUAUCCUGGUCCAGCCUGCUCCGAUGUCCAUGAGACUCUUCCUGUUCUGGCCUAGCCCCAGCCCUUGGUGUGGGGUCUGUCAGCCCUGAAUUUACUUCCAGCCUUCCAGGCAGGCUGACAGGUCCCAGGGGAUGCAGCUGCAGGGCCAUGACCAGCUCUGCACACCCUGUGGGGAAGUGACCAGAGAAAGUCCUGGUAUGUACCUAAUUUUAAACUCGUAUAUGCUUUUGAUUUACAUGCACAAAACCACACCAGCUCCUACCCUUACAGUAUAUUUUCUCCUGUUAGUUUUCCUUUUCCUGUAUGGUGCCAGUUGUGUAUUGUGAUUCAUUUUAUGUAUCCUUUAUCAUAUUUGUCAGUAAGUCUCCAGCAGACACAAAGCAGCAGGCUCUGUUUGCAGCAGUACAGCUACCAGAGCUUGGCAAAAUAGCAGUGCAAAAUCAUUUGCAUUAGAGCUAAUAAAGACAGCUGGAAUGGGCCCCAAAAUAUGUUCAAUAAACCAAUAAGAGUGACUGCUGUUUAUACUCCUACUUUAGUAAAACUAACUGGUUUUCAUUCAAUGUUUAUAGUACUGUAAUUGUGUAGUGUAGUAUUUUCCUGCAAUUUAAAACUAAUAUAAUGGUCAAUGCCUGCCUUUAAAUGCCGACAGUUUGCUAAACAUUUCCGGUCUCAUGCCUUGUGCAUUUUAUUUCCUCCAUAUGAGGGAAGGGAGGGAAUGUCUUGCCAUGUACUUUGCUGUAACUCCUGGUAAAUGCUGUUUCUUUUAUUGUGGCCAUUAUAGCUAUCACUUUGGGGAAUAAAAGCACAUUGUGUUUUUUUUAACUACAAUUCCUCUAUUCAAAAAUUUCCAGAAAUCUUCUGGAGGAGUAUAGAGAUCAUAAUUUAGGAAAAGAAAUAUGUGAAUGAACCAGUUAAUAGAAUUCUUUGAAAUUCUAGAUGCUAACAUACUGCUGUAGCUUCCCUCUGCAUUCCCCCCUAGCAAGUUUAGCUUAUCUAUCCCAUGGAAAUGAUUUAUUUAAAAUAGAAGUGUCAGACCUUGAGACAGUAUUAUCCUACCAAAUCUAAAUGUCUUAGAAAUACGUGCUUAUUCUGAAACAUGCACAUAUUGGCUUCCAUAAAAGAACAUGCCUAUUUUUUAGCUUGCUUGAUGCAUGCCAGCAAUUUUUUAUAAAGAGGAUAACUGAUAGACAUUCUUAAUAAUAAUGACAAAUAAAUAACAUCCCUUUCUCACAGUGCUUGACAAUGCAAGGGUGUUGUACAGGAUUAUAUAGCCAAAAGUAACAGGCAGAAUUUUCCUUUACCCUCUGCCAUACAUGAAACAAUAAAUCAGUCCAUACUAAGUUCAUUUAGCCAUGUUUUACAUCUUCUAGAACUGGAAUUGUGUAGCCUACAAAACAAUUUAUAUUUUAUCUGUACCAUCUAAUUAAUUAAAUGGCCCCAGAGUACCAGACUCACAAAUCUCGUUAAUAGCUGAAUACGGAAAUAAAGACUGUUCAACCCUACUAGAAUAAUAUUUGCAUAUCUCCACCUGCGAUGGGUAAUAAGUACCUGCCACAAAUCAGAAUUAUGAAUUUUGCACGCCUAACAAAACCGCAGGGGAAAUUAUACCUCAGACAUUCCAUAAUAAUUGCAGCUAAGCUGUUUAGUGCCAUCCACUUAUUCUGCCUGAAAUGUUUAAAGCAGCAACAGUUGUAAAUGAAUUCAGGCACACAUUCAAGAGAAAAUGUUUUAAAAAGUUUUUCUGUCUUGCCAUAUGUAAUUAUCUUUAUAGAAAUGUUCAUCUACAAGUUAUAGCAUGCUCACAUUUAAAAUUGCAAAUUAAAAAGUAAGCUGCUCCAAUUAAAGUACAUUUUAUAAGAGCAUCCUUGUAAGUUUACUAUGAUUAUACAGGAAACAGUUUGGGCCAUGUUUAUCCCAUUGAUGUCCCAGAAUUGGUGAUCUGUUCUAUAAACAGCUGCAGCAAGAGAUUUGAUUUUUCAGUGCUUCUUCCCCCAAUAACAAGUGAUUCCUGGGGGAGAGUUAACUGAUUAGGCUUGGACAGAAAUGUACUGCAACAUAGAUAGUCUUUCAUAGGCUGGGGAAUUGGGACAUUAAAGUAGGCAGCAUGAGUUUCCUCUGGUUUGUUUAUUUUUGUGACAGGAGAGGAAACUUUGUAUGUAGAAUAGCUGGGGGAACAGUGAGAUGCCGGUGGUCUCAUUUUCUGGUUGGGAGUGUAAAGGAAUGAUAAUGCCAGAGUUUAUAUAAUGAUAGGAUUUUGAGAGAAUCCAAUGGCUCUUUAUAAGCACAGGUCCUGCUCAGUCAACCACGUUAGGACAGCUCUAGGAGCUGGAUCGUGACCUGCUCGCCUCAGGAACACAGGUAGGUUUGUGAAUGUGGUAUGAACCCACCCACUGUGUGUGUAUCUGCUGCUUGUGCACUGCAUGACAGUUCCCACUCUAUCAACAGAUGCCAAGAGCAGUGUUUUGAAGCCAGAGCAGCACACAGUGCACGUUCCACCUCUGUCUCCUGCUGAAGACACACAGACAUAGGACAGCACCUGUCCCUGUGGGAUCCCUGGUCCCAGCCUGCCACUCUGCAGGAGCUGGCAGGGGACACACCUUUGCUACUACAAACAUGAGGCAUUAGGCAGCAAACUGGUGGUGACAGCCCUGCUGCCUCUCGUGAUAUGUAUGCCUGAAUUGUUAUAUUAUUGACUUUAUGGAAGGCAAUAGACCAACUCUAAAAUAACUCCUCCUUCACUCUGGGUCUCACUGAACACUUGGUGUUUUAUGAAGAGCUAGACUUCCCCUUUCUGCAGCAGAGGUGAACAGAGCCAAAACUGCAGUGUGAACUGUAUUUGUGAUCACUGAAAUCAACUUAUAAUUUUAAAGCUAAUCUUCUGAUUUUUGUGUAUUUUCUCUUAGUAAUGCACAGCACAGGCAAGCCUGCAUGUGUACAUUUAGGCUGCAGGUGAGUGUACGCUAAAGGGAAAUGAGACACAAGGGAACCCCAUUUCCAUCAGAUGAGAAGGGCAGAGACAGCCCAGAAGAAGGCAUUUGAUGGAAGGUGCAGAUCAGAGUGUCCAUGAGGAAACAAUAUUCUGGAAGAGAGCUGGCACUUUGGGGAAGGAUUCAAAUGCAUACAUUUGUAGACAAGCAAACUCACCUCAGGGUUUGGUUUAUGUUAUUUUCAAACCAGUGGCCUUACAACAUGCAAAUAUACUCCACUACAGUGCUUGCUGUCCCUCUAGAAGAAGAGCAGGAGAAGAGCAGGAGAGGACUGCUCCUGGAGAGGCAGUGGUGCCCUUUGCCAAGCCCUGCCAGUGACAUGCAGCCCCCAGGGAACAGGCCCUGGAGUACUGCAGCUUCUGUGCCUGUAAACUUCCACAUCUGUAUGCUGAAAGGGGAGCAGUCAUUUUGACAGUGUUUUAGUAAAGGAUUAAAAAAUAAUUAGGAUUUAUGUAUGUUCAAAAGGAAGGGGCACAGUGCAGCAAGUCACAAGAAGAUGAUUAAGUCAGGUUGAUUGGCUUUGCCUAGAAUGACAGCAAUGAGUGUGAAGGUUUAGGAAAAUAGCUGAUAGCCUAUUACCAUGAUGAAGUGCAGCUUAACACUUCUUUUUAUAUUUUAGAGGACUAACAGAUUGAGGUCCCUAUGGAUUUUUUUUUCCUAUUACAUAAAAUGGCUAUAGAAGCUGAGCUAUAAUCCCUCACUAACUUACACAUUAGCCCAGGGCAAUAAAGAUGUUUUUAUUGGAGGCAGAUUUCAUGAAAAGUUGUUCAGUUUUAUCUCUGAGUACUGUACUGUGCUGAAGGCAUUUAAGUGUCCUGUUGGGACACUCUGUCCUGGAAAGCAGUUACUCUCAAAAGGACAGCAAGGUCAUUGGAAAAGCUGUAUUUUAUGCCAGAGGAUCCUGCCCUCUCCCCUCAGUUCAUCUGCCACUUUUUUGUCUUGGCUGUGAGCAGAAGCUGAGACACACUGUCAGACUUGCACUCUGAUGAAUGCAGAUCCAGCACCAGACACGUGGUUGAAAGGGAGGCCCUGGUCCUCUGGCCUGCUUCCUCCAGCUUUGCCAAGUCCUCCUUCCUCUGUUCCUGCCAGCAAUAAAGGAUCCAGCAAGGUCUCAAGCUUUCUCUUCAGUUCACACAAGUUACCUGGGCUGUUCCCCAAACCAGUAGGCUGGUUCCCUGCCAUAAGUUGUCAUUUUUCCUGCCUUUUCUAGAAGCAGUUAAAACUUGUAACCCAACUCCCAUCAUCUUAGCUCGAUUUUUCACAGAACCCUUUUCUCUAACCUUGGCAAAUGCAGCAGUAGUUCAACUAUCCCUUCCCCAGCAGCUCUUGCUGUCCAGCCUGCCUCCCUCUGCCCAUGCCUCCUGGCUAAUUCCCUUGAUUUCACAGAUAACAUAACCCACUUGUCGUCUUUCACCCAUCACUUGGUAUCAGACUGCAAUGGUCUCUUGGCUCUCACUGUCAUGACCUUCAUGCCUUUUCCUCUUAUUCCUGCACUUUCUCUUCUCCCUUCAGCUGGCAGUGGUACCUCAUAAUUACCCAUAAACCUGGCUUCUAGCUGUGAUUCAGUGCUGCACAUUUGUUUCUGUGGCUUCUAUGUUUGGAGGACUGUUGGCAGUUCAGGGAUCCUCUCUCUCUCUUGGGUGCUCUCUGCUCUUUCACAGGCUCUCCAUCUUUCCUUUGGAUUUUGUUGUCCAGUUCCCUUCUUUUAAAAGCUCAGAUACAUGCAAAAGGUGUGAAGAUACCCCCUCUCUAGAGCCAAAGACUUUAUAAUCUUUGCUAGUAACAAAUAGCUUCAGAAAGUGCUAAUUUUCUGCUAUGUACAUGCAGCAGUGUAUGGUUGUAGCAGCAGUGCCACUUGGGCUUAGCCCCCUUCCAGUUGUAUUCAUAUCAGCUGGCCUCUCUGGAAGGCGGAUGAGGAGCUGGCGUUAGUGGUUUCUUUCCAUAAACUAUUAUGCAGAGAAUAAUCUCUGAUUGAUGAGGUCGUGCCCCACUACCUUACAAAGAAACACAUGUGUCUUUCCUAGGUUUAAACAUAAGGCCAUACUUGGCAAUCAGACAGCAGUUUCUCAUUGAUUAUGACUGGCAGGGAUUUAUAUUAUGCUUAUUUUUGGUUUUGUUUCCUUCAUUUAUCUAAAUCUAGGAAAUAUUUCUAUUCAAUCUUUCAAUCUAUAAAAAGUACAGAUUUCAUCUUAUAAGAUGCUUUAAGUAUGUAUAAUAAAAAGAUGGUUUUCCCUUUACCUUGCACAUUCCAUUCAUAUUGUAAUUUUUUGUUCAAGCUUAAGCAGUCCAUAUUUCAUUAAAAAACCCCACACUAUUCAUAUUUCUUUCAUCCCUUAUAAGAUGGUAAAAGCAACGUUGCUUUGAUGAAAUUUGGCAGGUAAGAGGAUCUAGUUGAAUCAUCUCAAACCCCUGGAGUUUUGGGCCUCCAGCUAUUAUAGUAGAGCAGCUAUGAGUAUUCAGAAAUUGGUCCUUUGUUUGCACUGCAUUUCCAAGCCAUCUGUAGCACACAAAAGCCACAGCUCUCUUUAUAGUUCAGAAUGAAUAUUUAAAAGUUCAGUUUUAGAUUUUAUUUGUAGCACUUCACAUCUUUCUGUCCCAUCUGUCUUGUGUCUCAGAGCAGUUACAUUCAACUGUACUAGUACUUGGUCUUAGACCCACAGGUAAACGCUGGUUCCUUUCCGUUUGGUGUCAGAGUGUGUACUGUGUGAUCAGGAUCUGCACUGAGCACAUAUGUGUUUAUUUAUUCCCAUGCACUAAAUUUUUAUUUGAUAUUAACAAGCAGCUGCAAACAUCCAGUCAUCCAAUCUGAAACUUUCCUGCAUGUUCCUGUAGAGUGGCAGAAACCCCAAACCUUCAUGAGAGCUGCCAGCCCCGGAUGGUGUAGCCUGGCACGGCGGCAUGGCUGGCAGUACCCACCCCAAAUGGGGAAAGCUGUCUUUGGACAGUGUGCUUGUCCACGUGCUGAGCCUCCACUUCCACAGUGUGGCUGGGAAGUGACAGGUGCCCUGAGAAAAGGGAAGGCACGAGGAUACGUCCCAGUGAGAGGGGACUCGUGUCAUCUGGUGAGGAGGAGGCUGUAGGGAAAGGGGUUGGAACUGCUCACUUCAGAUGGUGUCAGCAUAUGCAUUUGUAUAUAUUCAGAUAUAUGUUCCGUGGAAAAUUUAGCAAGAAGCAACAAAGCUUCUCUAAAUUGCAGGAAAAUAACUCGUUGUAGUAAUUUACCCUGUUAGGGUAUUAUCAUCUAGUUGUAUCAGGUUCAGUAUUUUGUAUCUAAACCUUAGCUGAAUCUGACAACUGUGUGCAAUUUUUGUUCUCUUCUAUGUUUAACUAGAUACCUGAAGUCACCUCUUUUGAGUCAGAACUAUGAAAAGGGAAGCAACAUAUCUUUCCGAAAACAAAUGAGAAUCAUCAACCUCCUGUUAAGUCAUACUUCAGUUUUGUUAAAUUGAUCAUCCCUUGUUUUAAUUUUGUGCCUUGUCCUGGGCAUGGAUGGGACACCCUGGUGGAAUGUUUGUUAGACUCUUGAGGUGUAAAUGAAUCAUUGCCCUUAAUGGCCUUUAAUAUUUUUUUUAAUAUAGAAAUAUAUAAAUUUAUACAUGUAUAGAUAUGUGUGUGUGUAUAUAUGUGUAUAUGUACAUGUGUGUAUCAACAUCCCUUUCUAGAAAAAAAUGAGCAAAUAUGUAUGUUAACACAUAUCAUUAUGAAAACUUUUGUCUCAACAAGACUAAAUAUAGCAAUCACGUUGCAAUUCACUGUGAAAAAUCUGUCCUAAGAGUUAUGUUGUCUUCAUAUGGAACAGAACUAAAGUAAAUUAAUGAAGACUAUGGUACCCUGAACUGAGGUCCUCGGAUUAACUAAAAAACAACAGCUUGUAAAGCCAGCACUUGGGGUUCUUCAGUGUAUAUUAUAUAUUGCCAUCUCAUCAGAUGGACUUAAAAGGGUAAGAACUAUUGUAAUGUCAUUGUUUAAUAAAAUUAAAAAGAAUUGGUUUAGAACAAGCAAUUCUGAAAUAUUUGAUAGUAACUGAAAGUAGAAGGAGAGCAGUGUGCAAGUCUGGCAGGUAUGUGUUUCAUUGUUUCUCACUCAGGUCUUCCAUGAGGCUGGACACUUGCUUUUUCAAAGAUGAACACCUUAUAUAAUAUUUUAACUGAAUUUCUCACUGAUCUGUGAAGGUUUAUAUCACUUUGAAGAAAAAAUGGAGCAAUGAAAAAAGUAGGUUUUUUUUCCUGAAUUGGGUAAGUCAUAGGGAAUAAAUUGUUGUUUCUUGUAGCAAUGCCUCCAACAUGGAGGUCUGAAUCUCCCUGGGAGUCACAGGUGUGCUUGAUGGCUGCAUUCCCAUCAAGAAAACGAGUGGUUUUGCAGUAGUGGGCCUUUUCCUAAUGAAAGGCAGCCCUGCCCUCUGGCUUUGUAUUUCAUUACGUGGUCUUAAUUUUUUUUUUUCUUCUCAGUCUUUAAAGUAAUGAACUUCUCUUUUUUGCAGAUCUCUGUCAUCUGCUGGUGCUCCCUGGAGAAUAGAUGGUCAAAAAGUGAACUGGUUUUCUGGUUGCAAAUCACAUCCAAUUCUUGAGUCCAUGCACUGCCCACUCAGCCUUUGCUGUUGCUUCAAACAAGCAGCUCUAAUGCCUUCCAUCAAAUCACUGCUGAGCCAGUUGAUCGAUUUCAGUCGAGUGGGACAGAAGGAGAGAGCUGAGAUACGAAGUUUAGGAAGAACACAGGUUCUCCAGUGUGUCCAAGGGGCCUGGAGGAGUGCUUUUACCAGUGAAGAUUGUCGAUAAAUGCAGUAAACAACAGGCUGCUUUCUCUCAGAAGAAGUUAUAUGAAGUUGUCAUCCAUUUGACGGUAUGUACUAUAUUCUCCUUCAUUUUUUAUCAGGUUCUGCCAAGGUAGGGAUGUGCAUAUAUUUUGCUAUAAAAUAAUGUUUCACAAUAGAAACUUUGUGUGCACUGUUAAACGAUCACCUAAUUAACCUCAACCUGUUUUUUCUCUAGGGAAGAAAGCUAAUUUCUCAGUUACAGGUAGGCAUUUAGAUGGAACUGUUCUUCCUCAGAUUUUGAAUGUUGUCCCCUCUGAUACAGCUGUGUCUGCUGUGGACAGACAUGUAUAUUGUUUAAGGAUAAACUGAAAUCUUAAAAGCCAUAGAUUACCUUUGAUUUAAAGGCCAGGAAUAUAGAUCAUAUACAAUUGUAGUAUAAUUUGUCACAUUGAAAAAAAUAACUACAUUCAGCUAUGGAUGUGCUAGCCAGCGUUUCCAUCACCAAUUUAAGGUUGUUAUGUCAAAACUCAUUUGCUAUUUUGCCCUUUCCACAGACCUGCAGUAGUGGAAAAGUGAACUGCAGUUUGCUCUUUUCACUCUCAUGGCAGAGUAAGAAGGAAUGAGAGCUCCUUCCCUAGGCCCUGUAUCUCCUCCAAGCCCACAGACUGGCUCUGCACGUGGGAAAAUGUGCAAGUGCUGUUACUCUGUCUCCUCCACUUCCAAAGCAGAAGAAUUGAGUCAGCUGAGGAUGUCCAGGAAAAAGGACCCAUCUCCCACCAGAUCCUGGGGUAGCUGAGUAAUAACAGGUCAUUGCCAGAGGAGGAAGGUCCCUGGAGUGGAAAAUGCAGGAGAAGGAAAAAUAAAAUAAGAAAAAAAGUGUUUAAAGGGGAGACUUUGCAGACAGAAGCAACCUGGGUGCAAGGCCCUGCCCUGCCUAUGAAUGGGGAUUACUUCUGCUUCCUAAAAGUUUUCUAGGUGUCAGACAACCCUGGAACCAAGAAUCUCCAAUCACGUUUCUCUGAAACUCUGGUUUCCCUGAAACUUUUAGUUACACGGUGAAGUUACUGGAUACAUGUCCUGUUCAAGUAACUGUAUAUAAACUUGACAUGGAGAUAAGCUGAGACCUCAUGGCAGAAAUCUCAUUUGAAACAACUGGAAAUUACUUCAACUUGGCUCAAGUCACAGCACAACAGAUACCUUCUCCUCCUUCUCCAGCCCUGCUAUCUUCAAGAGGAUAAGGAUUUUUUUCCACUUCCUUUGCUGAAUGAAAAGACGACAACACAGCAUACAUCUAGGGACACCUGCUGAGAGAAUAAAACACAAUAAACAUGAGAAUGCUAUGGGAAACUUCCUGCUGAGACUUCACUUAGACCAACUGAUAUCUUCUCCCUGCCUGGAGAAAACCUUUGUCCUCCAGACUGAAGACAGGCACUUAAAAGUAAACCUGUUUGGUCUGCCCCUAUUAACCAGCAGUGCUGACAGAGAAAAUUGCUUUUCCCCUGUGUUCAGCACUUGAGAACCACAGGAUUGAGACUGUUUUUUCAGACUGCUUUAUUUUUCGGCAUCAUCCAAUGGGAUAGGCUGAGUCACUACUUGAUUCUCAUUUCUCUUCAUGCGAAGGUUUCAGCUCCCUUGGAUUGCCAUGAAUCCCAAGCAAUGAUCCUGGUUUUGUCCUGACAGCACUCCCCAUGUUUCCAUUGGAUUUCAUGGACUGACAGUCAGAGAGACUUUUUCCCUGGCUCUGAACUCCUCUCUCUCUGCUCGGGAUGAUGGGGGAAGGCUGCCCACAUGGCACCACCUGGGAGAUUUUAUAUUACUUUUUGUGCUGCUCUUCUCUCAACAGGGCAAACCCUUGGGGCAGAUAAGGAUGUAUUAAGUGACUGAAAGACAUGCAAUUGUCUCCCAAAAGGUGUCAGUUCAGUAUUGCUGCAGAUGAGAGGAAACUUUCUAUUUCUGUCCUUAGUCUGAAAUAAUUUUCAUUGGGAUUGCUGAAGGUCCUUCUUUGCUGAAUGGGACCUCUGUGUAAUGCUAAAAUAAAUAUUCUGUUUAAUGUUCUGUUUCCCAAUCCUUUGUCUUUCCUUCACCCAGGAUAACUGCCAGCAUGUUCAUGAGUUUUUCAUUUGAAUGAAAUUUUGCUCUAGCUGUGGGCAGAAUAUAGAAAAAAAUCAAUAGCUAUUAAGAUACCUGAUACUGCAGGAUAUGGGAUCCUACUGGUAGAAAAUGCAAGGACCAU